rnacentral:ncRNA from 1 species
UGAUAGCGUAGAAGCGUGAGGUUGCUGCUUUACAUAGCAGGUUUUCCGUGGAGCGAAUGUCAAGUUAGGAAACUGGCGACAA